rnacentral:tRNA from 1 species
GCCGGCGUGGCGGAAUGGUAGACGCAGUGGACUCAAAAUCCACCGAGGGCGACCUCAUGAGAGUUCAAGUCUCUCCGCCGGCA